GGUUAAGUGAAGUUGAUAGGUUUGCUCUUAUCAUCCGGAACCCCUUUUCCAUGGUAGAAGCAUCCACACUACUCAAUACGAGGAGGUAUCUUCACCUUCCACAUCAUCCAAGGAUCUGACCAUCUUCGAUGACUUGCUAGAAAUUGCUGAUUGGAGAUUUGCAGGCAGUUGGCCUCAAAAGGGGUGACUGUGGUCUUAACUUCAAGAGAUGAGAAGAGGGGUCUCGAGGCAGUUUGCAAAGUAAAACGAGAAGGAUCUGCUGCUCUCCUGGGUGAAGUAGUUUUUCAGCUGGACAUUCUGGUGAGCGAUGCUGGGAUUAGCGGAAUUGUUUCUUAUUUUCAUGCCCUUCAAGAAGCUGUUGAGCGCGUUGGUGGUUGGAAUUACAACUUGGCAGUAGAAUGCCUAGAAACAAACUUCUAUGGUGCAAAAAGAGUGACGAAAGGUCUCCUUCCCUUGCUUCAACUGUCGAAUUCUGCAAGGAUUAUCAAUGUCUCUUCAAAGUUGGGACUCUUGCAGUCGGGAGUCGAGAGAACUCAAGGAACUUUCCUGUACCUGAGGAAAAUCAAUUACAGAUGCCCUUGAAGGCGUCAAGAACCUCACAAGAGAUUGAACAGACGAGCUCCUCAAGGAUUUCCUGGAAGAUUUCCAGCAGGGUCAAUUAGAAGCCAAAGGCUGGCCUGAGAACCUCUCCGCAUACAAGCUGUCGACAGCAGCCUUGAAUGCAUACACUAGGCUCCUAGCAAAAGAGUUCCCAUAUCCUUCCGAGUGAACAGCAUUUGCCCAGCUUUGUCGAGACGGAUAUAACUGGCAACAAUGGAGUUCUUACCGCUCCUGAAGGAGCAGAGAGCCCUUUACAGUUGGCUCUUCUCCGGGAAACUGGACCCUCCAGUCUCUUCUUCUCCCGGGAAAAAAGUCUGUUCCUUCUGAGAAACAAAGAGAACCAACUUUAGGGUUUGGGGGAAAACUUCGACUACUGAAAUAGGGCAAAGCUUCUCUUGCGAAAUUUGACUGCUAAAAUCGGAAGGGAACUGGAAAUCUACCUCUGGAAGGACUCAACAAGGUUACCGUGAAGGUUUAGGGCAAGGACUCAACGAGGCUACCUCCAAACUUCUUGUUGGCAAAUGGCUACCUCUACACACUCUUGCUGCAUCAGGAGAAUUUUACCUUGUAGAUGCUUUGCUAAAGCCUGAUGUAGACAUCAAUUGAGUAGAUAAGGAUUGCUCGACUGCACUUCACAUCAUUGGUAAAAACCAGGCAAUUACCAACUAUUUAUUAAGAGAAUCUGUUGACCCACUUGUUCGGGAUAAGAGACCGAAAUGUCAACUUCAUUGAAAGAGAAUUCUAUUGAGGAGGAGCCUUUUGUGAUUACGCAAGAGGAAUUACACUCAAGUGUAAUUACACAAGAACCUAACUGUAGCCAUACAAGAGUUUCCAGGCAAGUUCCUGCAGAUGAUAAGGAUGAUAGUGAUGGUGGAUAUUGGGAUUCCACUGAUGAAUCACGUGAGGAUGAGAGGGAUAAUGAAGACCCCAUAUGGGUUAAUGAAGGAAUUAAAGCAGGAGGUGAUGAUGUAUUCGGGUUAGGUCAGUUGCUCGAACAAUUGGACUAAUUUCAUGUUGAGAGAGAUGAAGAUAUUCAAAGUGAAGACAACACAGGUGAUCUUGAUGAGAAUAUGGAUGAAUUUCUCGAAGAAGGGAUUGGUGAUGAUUUCCAUAACUUAAGGGGAUUAGAUGAUGAAAGGGAGAUGGAUGGGCACCCAGAGUUUGUUACGUGUGUAGGUAUGAAAGAUCCACAAUUGUUAAUUAGGAAUGAAGUUUGCAAAUGCUAAGGAGUUUAAGGCUGCACUAAGGGAAUGGUGUGUGAGGAGAAAUUAUGAUUUUAAAUGGCAGCACAAUGAAGGUACAAGGUGUACUGCCAUUUGCAAACAUAGGUCAAUUUGCAAGUUUAGAGUUUAUGCUAUGAAGUUAGCCGAUGAGAGUACUUUCCAGAUAAGGACUUUCAUACCUGAACACACAUGCAGACGUGAGAACAUUAAUCACUUGGUGUCUGCCUCAUACCUAGCUAAAAGAUACCAAGAUGACUUCAAUGAGAAUUCAAAGCUAGAUGUUCACGCAUUUCCAGCCAGAAUACAAUGGGAGUUGGGUUGUGAAGUUAGUUUAAAGAAGAUCUACAGGGCCAAAGCUGAAGCAAUAAAGAAUGUCGAGGGAGACCAUUUACAGCAGUAUUGUAUAAUAAGAGAUUAUGCAGCUAUAAUUUUGGAGAAAGACAAAGGAAGUGUUAUUAAUGUUUGUGUAGAUCCUCAACCUCCAACCAUCGUAGAUGGAGUUCCAAAAGAACUGCCCCCAUGGUUCCAAAGUUAAUAGGACUUUGUUUAUUUGUCAUUUAUGAUGAAUUUCUAAUAAAUGGCCAAGUAAUUUUAAUGUUUCAUUUUCCCUGGCAGAUUUUUUGUUUCCUUUAACGCCAUGAAGUACGGCUUCAUACAUGGGUGUAGACCCUUUAUUGGUUUAGAUGGCUGCCAUCUAAAAUCAUAUAAUGGAGGACAUCUA